rnacentral:rRNA from 1 species
UGGGGAAUAUUGCGCAAUGGGGGGGAACCCUGACGCAGCCAUGCCGCGUGAAUGAAGAAGGCCUUAGGGUUGUAAAGUUCUUUCGGUAUUGAGGAAGGUUGAUGUGUUAAUAGCACAUCAAAUUGACGUUAAAUACAGAAAAAGCACCGGCUAACUCCGUGCCAGCAGCCGCGGUAAUACGGAGGGUGCGAGCGUUAAUCGGAAUAACUGGGCGUAAAGGGCACGCAGGCGGUUAUUUAAGUGAGGUGUGAAAGCCCCGGGCUUAACCUGGGAAUUGCAUUUCAAACUGGGUAACUAGAGUACUUUAGGGAGGGGUAAAAUUCCACGUGUAGCGGUGAAAUGCGUAAAGAUGUGGAGGAAUACCGAAGGCGAAGGCAGCCCCUUGGGAAUGUACUGACGCUCAUGUGCGAAAGCGUGGGGAGCAAACAGGAUUAAAUACCCUGGUAGUCCACGCUGUAAACGCUGUCGAUUUGGGGGUUGGGGUUUAACUCUGGCGCCCGUAGCUAACGUGAUAAAUCGACCGCCUGGGGAGUACGGCCGCAAGGUUA